AUGUGGAGGAUGGCUCUCCGAGAUGGCUGCUGCGGCACCGUCGCCGUCGUUCUUUCCAUGGACAACCAGGAGUGGCCCGUGCAAACAAUGUACAGGAAGCAAGCCAAGCAGGUGACACUGGAUCAAGAACCUGUAAUUUUUAUGACUUUCAGUAUCCGUCAUCCGCUGUUGGGUUCAUCGAGAGAAUACCGAAAGCGCUACGGCUAUGAAGAUGACAUGUUGAAGAAGCACCAUCGGCGUCAGCUUCACCCUUCUCCUCGGCAUGGAGAAGAUGUCACUCCCAAGUCGUGUGGAGAGCGGGCUGUCACGCAGCUGCAGCCUCCUCUCGCGCUGCUCCCAGGAUGA
rnacentral:rRNA from 1 species